rnacentral:rRNA from 1 species
GACGAACGCUGGCGGCGUGCCUAAUACAUGCAAGCCGAGCGGACUUUUAAAAGCUUGCUUUUAAAAGUUAGCGGCGGACGGGUGAGUAACACAUGGGUAACCUGCCUGUCAGAAGGGGAUAACCCGGUGAAAGUCGGACUAAUACCCUAUAUGCUCACGAGAGGCGCCUGCCUUGGUGAGGAAAGAUUUAUCACUGACAGAUGGACAUGCGUCCCAUUAGCUGGUUGGUAGGGUAACGGCCUACCAAGGCAACGAUGGGUAGGGGAACUGAGAGGUUUAUCCCCCACAUUGGUACUGAGACACGGACCAA